GAUGAACGCUGGCGGUAUGCUUAACACAUGCAAGUCGAACGGACUCUUCGGAGUUAGUGGCGGACGGGUGAGUAACGCGUGAGAAUCUGGCUUUGGGUUCGGGACAACCACUGGAAACGGUGGCUAAUACCGGAUGUGCCGAGAGGUAAAAGAGAAAUUGCCUGAAGAUGAGCUCGCGUCUGAUUAGCUAGUUGGUGAGGUAAAGGCUCACCAAGGCAGCGAUCAGUAGCUGGUCUUAGAGGAUGACCAGCCACACUGGGACUGAGACACGGCCCAGACGCCUACGGGAGGCAGCAGUGGUGAAUUUUCCGCAAUGGGCGAAAGCCUGACGGAGCAAUACCGCGUGGGGGAAGAAGGCUCUUGGGUUGUAAACCUCUUUUCUUAGGGAAGAACAAAAUGACGGUACCUAAGGAAUCAGCAUCGGCUAACUCCGUG
rnacentral:rRNA from 1 species